CGCUGUUUCUGAGCCCCCUUCCGCCCCUGCCCGCCCUAGUGCCGCGCCUGACGCUGCGGCUCAGCUGCCCGCCGCUCCCUCACUGUCGGGCACGGGGGUGGAGAGGGGGAUCGCUGCCGCUGUGGUGCGGCGCUGCUCCGCUCUUGCCCCAACACCGGGGGCGGCUGGCUGGCCAGGGGUUGGGGUCACCACCCUCUGCUGCACCGCAGAAACCCGAAAGGCAGGAGAGGCCCGCGGCUGCGUGGGAGGACGGCCGAGAUUGCUCGUGGAGGCGGUGGGAUAGCGGUGACACGUCCUCGCCGGGGCUGGCUGCACCACUUGCGCGACGCGACACGGCCGGUGUGGCUGCAGCCCUCCGUCCAUCCGUUCGCCCGUCCAUCCCCGCCGGCCGCCGCGGGGGACGGGCGGGGGACAGCGCUGCCGCUCCGCGCCGGGAGCCUCCGACGCGCCGGGCUGCAUCGCGCAGGCUUGUAGAGGAAAUAAUAAAGAUAUUAUUGUUAUGCUGUGACAGCCGGUCUAGCUGGAGCUGUGCGACACAGAGCCGCGUUUCUUACCUAAGUAUUUCGUAGAGAAAUCAAAGAUGUUUUGCUGCGGUGAAGGUUAUUUCUGCGUACAAAUCUGAAAUUAUUCAGGUGGAAGCUUAAAACGUUUUAAGAUGUGGGGGAAGGGGGAGGCAGGGCUCGGGGGAUUGUCUGCGCACCAGAAAAGCAUGCUAUUUAUUGACUCGUUGAAUUGCCUUUGAAGAAAUUUUUCAAACCGCUGUAACCGUGGAGGCAGUGGUCAGCACUGGAGCAUCAACUCUGUACAAAAUUUAGGCACAUGUGUUUAUUGCGUUACACCACGCUCUGUGCUAAAUUCAUAUUGCUACGUGUGUGUGCAGCGUGGCUGCUGACUCGAUUCCUCCUAAUGCGUGAGCUGAAAACCUGGCUGUUUGUGGACGAAAUCCAAUUUCCAUUCUGAGCUCCCUGGGAGAUAGCCUUAGUUUUAGUAAUCACUUACCAUUAAUACUGCCCCAAACAAUUUUUAGUACUUAAAAUGCAGAUUUCGUGUAAAAUAUAUCGUAUAGCUCAUCACCUCUGCUUAAAAAUUACAAGACAGGUAUGUAAUUCAUUAUAGGAUAUUAAACUGUGCACAUGUUAACAUCUUAACAGGCUCCUGCCCAAAUGCAUUCACAAAUUAAGAACUCAAUCAAGCACGGUACAUGGGAAACUUUCAAUGAAUUCUUUGGGAAUUGUGUCCCAGGAAUGUGAUAUCCAGCUUCCUCACCAGCAGAUGAAAUAGAUGCAGCUGAUUCAGUAACAAUUUGAUAACAUAUAUGGUCAGAAAAAUGAUUGUAUAAAUAGGGAACCUUCUUACUCAUCAGGUACCCUUUGUAUCUAAGAUACUCUGACUCAUAAUUGCUUAGUUUACUGACUGAAAUAAAAUUUUAGGCUUCUGUUACCUUGACAGUUGCUGACACAAUUACGGUACAGCAAACUGGGGACUGGUUCUAGCUCUUGCAUUUUCUUUACUAAGUUCCAGGUGAAAAAUUUUAUUAGUUUUUGAGUCAGAAAGAGCACCGCACGACUUGUAAAUCUCAGGUCCAGUUUGUAGGGUCAUCAGUCCUAAAAGGCCUCUUUUUAUUUGUGAACUAAGCAAAUGACUUACAGAAAAUUUUGAAGGCAAAAAUAAAAACCACGAUGUUUGAAUUAAGCCGUCUUGAGUCAAUUUCCGCAGUGGAACUGGAUAAAUUAUAACACUGCUCUCUUUAUGUCACUGAAUAUGUCCCAUUCAUUUGAAGCAACAUUGAAUCAAAUAAUUCUCUGAUUUUUAGACCACAUCUGUUUUACUGUGCCCCCUGCACCAAUUUUAAUUAUGUGACAGAUCUGAUUGGAUUCAGCACCUGCAAGUCCUCCCUUUGGGAUCUCCAAUUAGCUUAUAAAACGUUUACUUGAUUGCAUUCUUCAAACAAAAGUAUUGUUUCAUGCUAACAGCAGGAAUAUUAAAGUGUAGAAUGAAAAAGGUUUUAACAUGAUAAGCAGCGUGUAUGUUGUUUGUGUAUCUAGCUUCCAUAAGCUUAGAGGAAAAAAUAGUAAUCCUGAAACCUAAUUUCCUCAGACUCAGCAGAUGUCUGUCCUGCCUUAGCCUGUUUCUUUACUAACAGCUGUUUCACAAGUGCCUCCCCUAGUCUCUACAGAAUGCCUUUUGUUUAAUAUUUCCCCUCUACUUUAUCUCCCAUCCCACUUAGACAAGAUUUUUUAAGUUUUUUGGUACUUUAUGUAGGUAUUUUGUAGUUUAAUAGACAGGCUCAUCUUUGAAGAAGUUUGCUAAAACUAUAUAACUAGCCUCUCAGCUAGCGUCUCAGUAACAGUUCUACUUAACUAGGCAAAUAGCUGCAUGUAACAAACAUUUCAACAAAUAUUGAUUUAAUAUUAAGAAAACUAUUAGUUAUUAGAGAUAUGCUUCAGAAUACACUUUUUUCUCCUUAUUUGACUGCUUGGAGCAGUGAUACUGGAGGUCUAGGGGGGAAUAUCACACAAAGUGCAGCCCUCUAGUGGCAGAGGUCACGGGGAGUUUAAAGCAAACUGGGUCUUUGUUAUGGGUGGGGGCAAUGAAAGAAACAGCUUUUAGCAAAAUGCAGGCAACUGUCCUGCAUCGUUCAUGGUCUGAAGCACAAGCAAAAAGAGUUGUGGAGGCCUGUAAUGCAACCUUGCCCCCACUCUGUUGUAAUAUCUACGCAGAAAGUACCGAUGGAAAAUAUUAAAAGGUCUGAGUUUUCCUCUAUUUCCAAAUCUGUAAUCUGUUGUUCAUCUUUUCUGUUUCCAGCCAGCAGAUUGGCAUACCUGACCAGAUGCUUUUCAAGCAGCUGUGGGGUCUUGAUUCCUUCAAUCAUGUCCUACCAGACGAGGUAUUCUAUAACUUCAGUAAGAGUAUGUUCAGUGAUGACAUGGAGUACAAAUUCAAUUUAACAGCUUUAUUUCUAAAAUCACUCUCGAUUGGUGGAGGUGUGGAUGGUAGCAUUCAAAUUAAUCUCCCCCACGGACAUAAGAGUUAUGCUUAGAAAUAAAAGGGAUUAGGAAGAAGGAUAAACUAAAGCAAUUAAGCAUAUAUAUUAACAAAUAGAAAUCUGCAUAAUAAUUGAGGUGGAGUUCUAGUAAUCUGAUAAGGUCCACUUUGUGGAACAAGACCCAAUCUCCUGUUUCUUAUGGAGGUGAUGUAUAGUUCUCCUCCGGCUAACAGAAUGAACACUUCAAUUUUCCCCUUAUAUAACAAAGCCCAAUAAUCAUUUGAUAAAAAUGAUACCUCUUAAACAUCCUGGCUAGGUAAAAGAAAACAGAUUCUGUCUUUGUCCAAAAUGGUGCUACUACAAUUGCCAGUUUUUCAUUACUGAAUGAUUGCUGUGAUUCCUAGUAAACUUUGGCUUCACUAAAAUUACAGUUAGUGACGAAAUCUUUCAAGUUUUUAAUUUCCAUCUCGUGUUUAUGAAAUUUCUUUCCUCUGACAAUCUAUCAAUUAAACUGGUAUUGUCAUUGAGUUAGCUGUCUAAUUGUUGCUUGUUUAAAUACUGCAGAAUUUGUUCACCAGUAAAUGUUUUAAUUUUCAGUGGAACUUCUCCAAGAUUCCAGCAAUAUUAAUCUAAGGAAAAUCAAAUCCAGUGUUUGGGAAAAAAGCUAAACACAUAUUAGGCAGAAAGUGACCUGAUUAUCUAUUUCCCCCCAUUUGUAUUACUUUUAUUAUCUAUAUUAUAUGCAUUACCUAGCUGAAAGCCAAGUGUUAAUAGUUGUACUCUUCACUGAAAAGAGCAUAGACAACUGCUAAACCUCUUCAUAUUGUAGACCAUUGCUGUGUAGUAGCUUUCUUUUUCCAGGAAACUGAGGAUGACUAUUUAAAAUCAGUAAUAAUUUGACCACACUAUUUGUCAUAACAUGAAUAUGUUGGCCAAAAUUCUUUUUCUGGUGAUUGAAGGCGAAAGUGUUUGUAGGAAAUCAGCACCCAUUUCUGCUCUCUCAGCAGAGGGAUCACCUGUCUCCUUCUAUUCCCACAAAGUUCAUUAAAAUUUACAGUACUUUUUUGACUUUUCUUCAUGAAUACUGAACUGAAUUGAUCCCAGUGCUUCAUUGCUGAAUCUGUAGGUCAGAUUUACAAGGGGUUACCUAAGGAUGUAUCCAGAUCUCAAUGUAAAAAAACAAGUUAGCCUCAGAACAGGAUAAUUUUUCAUCCCUCACAGGGAAUCGAAUGUGUGGAUCUGGAUAUCUGAAACUCCAGUGGCUGAACACUUACCCCAAAAAGUCAUCUCCAUGGUGAUCUUUCUGCACAGUAAUCUAAAGACCUUUUCUUUCUCAGAAUGAAAGAAAAUGAAGACUUGAUUUCAAUUGCCUUCCAAAAAUAGUAGUAUCUUCUGUUUUCUUUGGGUCAUUGCUUUUGUUUGUUUUGCUUUUUCUCCUUUUUUGGGGGGAGGAUUUUUUGGAGUUUGUGUGUGUGUAUGCGUGUGUGUGUAUUAUUUUGUUUUUACUAGAAAAAUAGAUAUUCAAGGUUUAAAAUGGGUACAGUCUAGGCGUAAAUUCACUGUAAUGAAACAAUGUAACAUCAAUAUAGAAGCAUCUCCUUGUGUAGCUUCAUCAGUUUACAGUGUUACUGAUUGUGUACCUCUUGUCACUAUCUUACAAAAGGACAGUUACAAUUGGUAAAGCAUCUCUUCUACAAAUUGAAUGUCACUCCAGAUGCUUCUGACUGUAUUCCUUUAACAGAUCAGGUAUUUUUCAAGGAAUCAGCAUACCUGUUUCCAAUCACUGUUAUUAUAAUUGCUCUAAUAAUAUUACUAUUUUAUAUAUCAUUUUGCCCACUCACCACCAAGUGUCUUCUUUGUUCGACAUUUUGGAACUUUAAAAUAAAUUAAGUAUGGAAAAAAGAUACAUUAACAUAAAAAUUAGUUUCUUUGAUUCUGUUGUCAAGCCUGAUUCCCUUCUUUGAAUAAUGUAGUCUUACAAUAUAGGACCUCAAUCAGGAUUGUUUUGGAAUUUUGCUAUAGUUCAGCUGACAAACAAGAGUUAUUUCAGUGGAGAAGAUCAGAAAUCUUUCUGGAAAAGGAGUACAAGGAGAAAAAGUAAACAUGUUGCACAAUGGACAAAGGAAAAAUAAGAAAAAGACAAUAAAGACAAAGUACUGAUUUUUCUGUGGUAAUCAUGAUUUAUAUUAAAUUACAUAGCAAAAUUUGAGUUGCUCUGAUCAUUUUGCUCACUGAUAAAAUGUAUACUACCUGAGAUCAUUAAAGACAACUAUAUCCUAGUAAAAAUAUACCAGCAAACUCUCCUACUGUUAACCACCAAGGAACCUCAUUUUUUCUUGUUUAAUUUAUAAUCAAUUUUCCAAAUAAUAAACGCUUCCAGUAAAAGUAACUUUUAUAAGUAUAAUAUUAUUAUAGUGGUAGAAUUUUUGCUAACGGAAAAGUAAGAAAAGUAAUACUAUUGAAAUAAUAAUAGUCUCUAGUAGAGAUCUAGAGAUCUUUAAAAAUACUUUUAAAAUGCUUACUAUAUCAAAACGCAUAUACCAGUAGAUUACAAAUUAAUUUUCAGCACAGUAAGAUUUUAGGAAAUAGUUAUUACCUUUAAGAAUAUCAAAUCACAAUGGGAUGUUUAACUGAUUCUUCCCUAGAGUUUAGCAAAUAUGUUAGGAUUUGUUCUUCAAGAAAUUAUUUCACUUCACCAACAGAAAUCGAUGAUUCCACUUACAUUUCUACCCGCUUGAAAUUUAUUCCUAAAAAAUACCCCUGAACUGGAAAAUCUCUUAGUGGGGGAGGGUAAACAGCUAAAACUUACUGCCAGGAUAAAUUGGCCAGAAUGAUUUGGCACAUAUCCUGAGUUUGCCAUGAAAACACGUAUCUGUGUGUCAGCUGCACACAAAGGCUAUCUGGCCCUAGAAAAAGCAUGGGGAUUAGGCAUAAUGCUGCCUAUUUCAGACAAAGGGUAUUCCUUAGUGCAGUGAGGUUAAAACAGACAGCUCAUCAGCAGUACAAGUCUAUCUGAAUUAUUUAGUUACCAUUUUAAGCCAGAAGGAAAUAGUGGCAGAUUAUUAAUGACUUGUGGGUUUUAUUCGUCUUGUUAUUUUGUUUCAGUGAAAAGUAGCACUGGAAAUGCAAAAAGGUACCAAAAUAUGAGAUCAUUUUUACUUUAAUCAUUUACAACAUAUAGACUUUUAACACUAGUUCCAAAAUAUUACUUAUUUUUAUUUACAUUUCAGUAAGACUUAUGAAGUUGCUAUUUAUGUUUGUGAGUGUUUGCAUGACCAAAAUGAAAGAGACAGCUCACAUGCUCAGAAAAUAGAAAUCCAUGGAUCUACUGGAUGAAAACUAUUCUAUUGAUUUGGAGGGAGUUUAAGUCAUUCAAAAUGACAAAAAUACUUCAGGAAAAAAAUAGUGGAGAGAGUAAGGAAACUAUAUAAAAGAUAUUAACAUAGUCUGAAACGCAUUCUUGCAAUAAAAGAGAUUCUUGUCAUAAUCCAGUGACAGGCAAUUUAAAAUAACUUUGCAUAGAAAUAUUUAGGGAUAUAUAAUAGGAAUAUGUAUAAAGAAUAUUUAGGAACAUAUAAUUUAUCAUUUUUAAUAAAUUAUAUAUAAACAAAUUAACAGCUGGUAUAUAAUUUAAAAUUUAGCAGUUACAAAAUUGAAAACUAAGGAUGCACUUUCCAAUAAUUAAAAAUAACAAGUUAAAGUGAAAAUCUUUACAUAGUCAUGCUUUAUGUAGACAAAAAAACAGAUCUAAACAUGAUGAUAUAGAAAGUUAUACAUUACGUACGUAAAAGAAGCCUGAUUAUUUUUCCUGGAAAUUUUUGUGGAUUUUUUUUGUUAUAUUUUAGCCAAGUAAGAAGACUCCUGUUUCAAAACUUUUAAAUGUUUGUACUUUUCAUUCUUAUUUUCAUUUACAGCUUUAAGCUAUUUCCUCCACAGAAGAAAAAAAUCGUAUGUUGAAACAGUAAAAAUAAAAUUACUGCAGAACUGAGUCAUUGCAAGUGAGAUGAAUAUCCACAAAAAAAAAUUACCAAAUUACAAAAAAACCACCCAGAAACAAGAUCAUUGUGCAUUAGAAACAAUGCUUUCAGAUUCAUCAUGGCUCACAACAAAGGUAUUUAUAAGUGGACCUCCUGCCUCUGUCACAUGCUGUCAUUGCUUUGGAUUGACUGCUGUUAGAUCCCAUAAUCCCAAACCCUAGGAUCUUGUCCUACAUAUCUCCCCCACUUGUUAGGCAUGUCAGUAACUAUUUAAAAUGGAAAUGAACUCUAAUUUCUGUAUGUGUUAAUAGCAAAGGGUUUUACUCUCCUAAACCCCAUAUUUACCAAGAUAUUUUGGGUUUUUGUAAUAAAGGUUAUAAAAAGCUGUAUUCAGUCAUAUAGCUUGUAUUUACUAGUUUAACCACUUAUGUUUGGUUAAUGCUUGGCAUUUCUUAACUCAACAGAGCGUCAUGACAAUAUUAUGGAACAUGUUCAUGGAUGAUGAGAAGAAUUGACUUGUGAGGUUAUGUUGUUAUGUAAAUGUUAUGCAGAGAUUAAAACUCAAACGUUGUCCAAUUAAGAAAAUGUUCAUUGAAACUAUCAUAUCCCAUUCCACAUGAAAACUCUUUGAUGCCAACAGAUUAAAAUUAAUGUACUUCAUUUGAAGGGGGUAAGAAAAAAUCACCAGUAUAGUUGACUUCUAGUCCUCACUUGCAGUUCCUUGUACCCGGUACAAAUCUUGCAUCAUGUAGGAUCUUUGUGAAAACCACUGCUAUUUUCAUAUUAUGAUUGUUAUUAAUAAAUAUUUGCAUUGUCCAACUGCUCCUUGGAACUUGGUUCCGUGAUCACUUCCCUAGGAAGCCUGUUCCACUGAAUGAUCACCCUCUCAGUGAAGAACCUUUUCUUAAUGUCUAGUCUGAGGUUCCCCUGAUGGAGCUUCAUUCCAUUUCCUCAUGUCACCAGAGAGAGCAGAUCAGCACCUUCCCCUCUACUGGUCCUCUUGAGGAAGUUGAAGACUGCAAAGAGGUCUUCAAGCUCCAAUAAACCAAGUGACCUUGGCUGUUUCUCCUUGCAUUUCACCAUCUUGGUCAACCUUUUCUGAACACACUCUAAUAGUUUGAUGUCCUUCUUUCAUUGUGGAUAAUAAUAUAAAAGCGAAAUCACUAGAGCAAUUUGUACAGUGCCAUGAUAUGAUAAGGAGGUUUUUUUCUUAAAAUCUUAGUGGAGCAGCUAACUCCACUUGGAUAGACCCUAAUCCCUAGCAUAAUUUCACUGACAUCAGUAGAGUGUCAUUAGGGAAAUGGAUCUUCCACUUACGGAAAUGUGUUUUAAAUUUAUAAAAAAAUUUAAAUUUAGUCUAGUAAAAGUAGUUUCAACACAUUCCAGUCUACUUUAUUGAUUUCAAGCUUACUCCUAGAACUAAAGGUGAUGUGAUGAAUAUGUGAGCCAAGUGAAUCAGUAAAAAAUCCCAGUUUUAAUAUCUGUCAUCCAGCGUGGCAGAUUAUUUCCCAAGUUCAGACAACUAAUUGGUAAACUAAGAAUGCAUUACACAUAAGAAAGUGUGCACAACAGAUGAUAUUCUUUUAUUAGAACAUUAUAGUUUUAAUCUAACAUCAUACACAAUCAGUAAAGCUAAAUUCUUAAUGCAAAACAUGCAAGAGUUAAAAUGCUUAAAGUGAAAAUAUCUUGGCUUAGUUGCAUAUAUUUUUCAUUUUAAAGUAAAUGCAUUAACAGAAAUAGGACUGUAAAAAACUGUACUUUAAAGUUUAGCUAAGUGUAAAUAGCAAUAGAAUUGUAUUUUCAGCAUACUGUUUAAUGUAAACUCUCCCUACCCCUCCCCUCAAAUUAUUUUAUUGUGCUCUUUUAAGCAUUUAACAUUUUACGAAGGUGAAACAUUUGGUACGACUUUUAACAAUUUAAGAAAAACCACAAAAGAUGAUCAUUCUAGAAAAUGGAUGUUAAGCUUUUUUCCAGUUUUUAGUGUCUAGCUGUACUACUGAUAAUUUAGGCAGUAACCACAUGAAGUUCAGCCAAAUUCAAAGACAUUAUUCUGUAUCAAUGCCUAAAAGAUAUUGUUCAGUUAUGCAAAUGCCCAUUCACCUGAGUAGUCUUUAUUCAUAUAGAUUAUUGUGUUCAACACAAUUUUUACAAGCAUUCAAAACAGUGUGCUGCAAAAAGAGUAUCUUCUCUCUUGUUUUUGCAAAAUUUUCUACACAGAAAAAUAUUCCAAAGAAAGUAUCCAAAAUUGAUUAUUAUGUACAGCAAUAACUGUCUGUAAAAUAUUUUGGUGUCUGUGUUCUUAUUUCUACAGAAACGUACAUUAUUGUUAAUCAGUAUAAUCUGAAAUUCCAUGUUUCUUGAAAUACUGGUUUGUUGACCAGACCUCUUAGAUCAAUAUAAUUUUGCAAACGUAUAGAAAACACUGAUACCUCAAACUUUUGUAUAUGUCAGCUCAGGCUGAAAAUAUUGUGUUAACUAUCUUUUGGACUGUGUGGAUAAAUUAUUCAUCAUUACAUUGUCUUACUGUAGAGUCACUGGAUUGCACUACCUCCAAAGAUUAUGCGUUACGUAAAAAUGGUUGAAAGCCAUUUCUCUCAUCAUUACAAUGUCACAUUAGUGAAAGAAGACAGUCAGCAUUUCAUGAACAUUUUAUUUCUUUACAGCCUCUAAGAUUUCCCAGGAGAAUCAGUCAUAUAAUCAAACAAAAAUGCUUGCUGUGAUCAAUUCUGCAACACUGCAUUACAUUCUCUGGGAAGUCGUUUAUGAAAGAAUUAACUGUGUUCAUGUUAUUCAGUGUCAUCUACAUACCUCAGUAAAACAUAUGAUGACAGCAGGCAUUGGUCAUGGAAGUUUGAACUUUUUUUUAAUGUGAUUGUUUUCAAUAUUCAGUUUGAUGAAAUGAACAUUUUGUGUAUAUCUAGUCAUCUGAGAAUGAAGUUGAAAAUUGUAAUUAUGAAAAUAGAUAAAUAUUUCACCUGUAUUUGGUGAAUUUCAAAGUUUUGUUAAUAUCUGAGAUUUGAAUUUAUUUAAAUGUUCAAAAACUUUAAAAGAAAAAUAGAUUAUGUAUUAAAAUACAAGUAUGUGCAUAUAUAUGUGUUCAUACCUGUGUACACACAAAUAAAGCACAUGCAUAUGAAUGAUGUA